rnacentral:rRNA from 1 species
GUUCAUGACUGGGGUGAAGUCGUAACAAGGUAGCCCUAGGGGAACCUGGGGCUGGAUCACCUCCUUACCUAAAGA